CACGGACCGGCUGUCGCUUGUGCGGGAGCCGCAGGGUGAGAGCAGCUGCCGCGCUGGCCUGCCCGCGGGGAAGGCGCAGCAUGUUUCGCUGUUUCGUAGGCAGGAUUGUGGCGUAGCAGCCUUCAUGCGGCGUGAUGAGGGGCGCGCACCUGCACCGCGGGCGAGCUCGGGAAGCCCAUCUGCACGCGUAUGGCUCGAACGAUUGAUGCAGCAUCUCUACUGCGGUUCCUGUGGCCACGAAAAGAAGAAAAGAAACAGAGGAAAGAGCACAGAGCAACACCACAGUGAGUGCACGGCCGGCGGGGGCCGCCGGCCAGGGCUGGGACCUGCGCGCUCCUCCUCCUCGCCUCGGAAAGGCGCCAGCCCUGACUGCAUUUAUAGGACAGGCCCAUUUCGCACACGAAACAGUUUGACCGGUCAGACCACAGGCAGGAGCCAAACCACCAGCAGGGGCCGGGUGAGCUUCCUCUGACAUUUUAAUAAACUGCAUUAUAUAAACA
rnacentral:lncRNA from 1 species